UAAAAAUCCUCCCAUCUUCCACAUCAUUUUCUCAUAUCAUCAUCUUGGGCUUUUUAUAAAUGCCCAUCUUAGUUUUUUUUAAUUUUUGGGCUUUUUAAAUAUUUGGGUUUAUAACCACAAACCCCAAACGUGAUUUGUCUUUGUUUUGUUGAAAUAGGCUUCUGGGUUUUGCGUUCUAAUGGAUGAACAAAUCAUCGGAUUUCGAUUGUAGCCGUCAAUAGCUUUUUGGAAGCUCAAUUUGCGAUUUCUCUCACCACACCUCGAGGUCUCGGCUCCUCUUCCGGAUUGCUUGAUCCUCGUCCAUUCCCAAACACAUAGUGUUUACCUAGACAAGAAAUCCAGAAAUCGAGCUUCCACAGGAAAAACUCAUCACCUGAAAUUUCUAUGUUGUGGCUUUGUCAAAGAAAACUACUAUGGAGGAGAUUUUGAAUAAGAACAAACUGAUUCAGUUGGACAAACAACACCUAUCAUUCUCCAAAGCCAAAAUGGAGCUUGUCCUUUGUUGGCAAUUUGUAGUUUACUAGCUAUUGUCGAGGAUUUAGGUCAUCAUGCUGGUUAUUACAAGCUCUUGAAAUCUCGUGGAGCAAGGUCUUAUAUCUAACAUUCGAUUUUGGUUUAUGAUUUUGGUUGUCUUUUAAUUUGAGAAGAAACAAGAAUUUUAGUGUAAAGUAACGGACUGUAAUUCGAAGCUUGUGUGAUUGAAUGAGUAAAUUAUAUUGAAGAAAUUGAGUUA